UGGUGUGUGCACCGUUUCGACCAUCAC
rnacentral:piRNA from 1 species